UGUUAUUAUAGUGUAAAAAACACGUUACAUUUUCAUUGUAAAACUAAAGGUACAAAAUCCUUUUAAAAACAU
rnacentral:tRNA from 1 species